CCUGUAUGUGUGUGUGUGUGUGUGUGUAACUCUCUGCCUGUGACUGUGUGUGUGAGUGACUGUAUAUGUGACUGUCUGUAACUGUGUGCGUGACUUUCUGACUAUGACUGUCUGUGACUACCUGUAACUGACUGUGUGUGUAACUGUCUGCCUAUAACUGUGUGUGUGACUGCAUGUGACUAUGUACGUGUGACUGUCUGCCUGUGACUGUUUGAUGUUGCCUGUAACCAU